rnacentral:lncRNA from 1 species
GGCGGCGGCUGCCCUGAGGUAAACCUGGCCCUUCGUCGCGGCACGGAUGCCCUGCAGUCAGAACCGACCUCCCUGCAUGUGUCUCUGUCCCCAGCAGGCCUGUCACAGACCUCUCAGCGGAGUCAUCCCCGGGAAGGCCCGGUGCUGCCCCGGCCACCGGCGGGGACUGCGGCCUCCGUUCCCGCCCGGGCCACUCCCGGGUACCGGCCCAUAGUCCGCAGCCGCGAGGAGUUGAAGCGACCGCGGGGCCUGCUGAAGGGCCACGGGAGGGUCCCUCGGGGUUUCCAGGGACGGCCCCCUGGAGUGAUCUUGCUGCUUGGGCAGUGAGCGCGGCCUGAGCCUCCGCGUCGGCAGCACCUCUGGCCUGACCUGUCCCUUCCCCGGCACCAGCAGGUGCAUGUCCGAUACGGCGGUGCCCAGCACCGGAGGGAGAAUGGCAGGCAGGAGGGUCCAGGACACGCCAUCGUAAGGCACCUGGGCUCUCGAAGGAUUCUUCAGCAGGGCGUCUUUCCAGCCAGGACCCCGAGGAUGUGCUAGACACCGUCCUUUCUUAUUCGGGAAGGUGUCCUUCUCUCAGGGGGACCACGGCAGUGGGAGAGGAGAGGGGACUGCUGCAGAGGAAAGAGUCGCUUGGAAGCUCAGAGUAACUGGGAAUCCCCACAGAGCAGGACUGAAGGUCCGCCUGUGACAGGAAACCUGACAUUAGAGAAUCCAGUAAGAACUUGGAAGGGUAGGCGUCCAAUUAAAGGAAGUAACGCCCAAGGCAAACAUCAGAAACAGUCAUUUUCUUUGAAAUCUGGCCUAGGAACGUAAAGUAGUUGUUCCGGGAGUCUCAGGUUCCUGGGUCAGUCGCUCUGCUUCCCUGGUUGUGCAGUGUAAAUACAAUCUUACUCUUCCUGCCGGCGAUGACAGUGGGCGGGCGAGCACGCUGCAGACUGUGCUCCAGCUUGCCUUUAAAUGAUUUGUCAAGUUAGAGCUCCAGAGAACUUUGUCAGAGAGUUUCCUUUGAUGUAUACGAUGCUCCCCCUUUGGCAAGAAAAGACCUAGCAUUAAAUAGCUUUGUUAGACAACAAUAAAAAGGUAGUUCUAUUCUCAUCG